rnacentral:rRNA from 1 species
UACGGAGGGGGCUAGCGUUGUUCGGAAUUACUGGGCGUAAAGCGCGCGUAGGCGGACCUGCAAGUCGGGGGUGAAAGCCCGAGGCUCAACCUCGGAACUGCCUUCGAUACUGCGGGUCUCGAGUCCCGGAGAGGUUGGUGGAACUCUCGGUGUAGAGGUGAAAUUCGUAGAUAUCGAGAAGAACACCGGUGGCGAAGGCGGCCAACUGGACGGUGACUGACACUGAGACGCGAAAGCGUGGGGAGCAAACAGG